UGGACGGAGAACUGAUAAGGGG
rnacentral:ncRNA from 2 species